UUGGUCCUAACCUUGAAGUCAAUUAUUACUUAACUUAUACAUGCAAGCCUCCACACCCCCGUGAAAACGCCCUUAAGCCCUAGCAGGGCCAAGGAGCCGGUAUCAGGCACAAUUAUUAGCCCAAAACACCUAGCUAUGCCACACCCACAAGGGACCACAGCAGUAAUUAACCUUGAACAUAAGCGCCAGCUUGAUUCAGUUAAAGUAAAAAGGGCCGGCAAAUGUGGUGCCAGCCGCCGCGGUUACACCAUCUGACCCAAACUGACCUCUUACGGCGUAAAGCGUGAUUAAUUUUUCUCCCCACUGUAGUUAAACUAACACUAAGCCGUAAAACACUUUUAGUUAGGAAACCCAAAAACGAAAGUUACUACAUACAAAACAAUUUGAAUUCACUAAAGUUGAGGCACAAACUAGGAUUAGAUACCCUACUAUGCUUAACCUUAAACUCUUAACUUACACCACCUAUCGCCAGGGAACUACGAGCAAAGCUUAAAACCCAAAGGACU
rnacentral:rRNA from 1 species